AGAAAACUGUAUUUACAAUUUUUAGAUUGUCAUUAUUAAUUAUUCUUUGCAUAUUUGGGACUUUUUUCAACAUAUAAGCCUUACUGCCCCCUUGGUGAUACGGCCCUGAUGUGACCAGAGGCUCUCCGUUCUCACAUCUUGUUUCUUUCACCUCGCAAAGAGCCUCUGGAACCAGGGUACUCUUAAAGUAACACACAGACAGAGCAAAUAAUAUAAUGCUUUUAAAAAUCUUCAAUUUCAAAAGAGGCAGUAAAUUGGUAGGGAAAUCUUUCAAUAAUACCCUGUGGUUAUGGUAAACUAUGUACCAGUACCAGACAAUAUAAAUCCCUGCCUGCUCAAAUCUAGGAAGUGUGGGGGCCAUUGGGCAAAGCAGGGUCACUGAGGGCCUGUUUAUAUGAUCCUGCCUAGACGGGAUGUUUUCAUCCCGCCUAGAUGGGAAAUUCGCCUAGUGUUUAUAUGGACAAAAUACAUUGCCUGGAUGAAGCCAUUUAAGUGAGCUUGACGUCAUAUUUUUGUUGCAAUAAAGGCAUUUACGCAUGCUCAAAAGGGAAAAGUUCAUCCCACCUAGCUGGGAUGAAGUGUUUAUAUGGGAAUUUUUCGUCCCAGCUAGGCGGGAUGAAGUGUUUGUAUGGGAAUUUUUCAUCUCGUUUUGGCGGGAUCCUGGCAUCUGUUGCCGAGAUCCCGCCUAGGCGGGAUAAGUGGCAGGAUCAUAUAAACACUCUUUAGAAUUUGUAUUAUGAGCGGGAUCUCGGUAAGCACCCCGUCCGCCUGGCCGGGAUCAUACAUAUAAACAGGCCCUGAGACAAAACCAGAUAUUUACACAUUCCAGCAAUUUUGAUUAUGCAGUGCUGACUGCUGAGAAGUAAAAACUGCCAACUUCUGGGUUGGGGGAGGUGGUAAU